CUUGGUAUUAUGAUGAUACCCAUUCCAAUGCAUAGUUCAUCUGAAUUCUCUGAUGAAAAACCUUACCUUCAAUAUUCUUUCGCUCCCAUCUGAUAUACCAUC
rnacentral:snoRNA from 1 species